CUAUUCUUCUUCCUUCUUCUCUAUUCUACCCACCCGAACACACAGAGAGAUUGAGAGUGAGACCGAGUAAGAGGGAGAGCUGAGAGAGAGAUUCAGGGAGAUGGAGAGGGAAAGAGAGACUGAGAGACCAAGAGAUCGAGAGAGAGAGCUGGGAGCCGAAACCCGCGACCCGUCGAGCAGUGCACAGAACCGAUGAACGGUUGUUCCAGUGACGAUUCCGGCGAACCAAAGCCGAAAUCCGACGGUUUGAUGGUGAUUUCCAACGAUCCCAUGGCGAAACCCAUAACCCGAGCGACUCGAUCCACGAAGACCCGUUGAACCCGAGAGGACCCGAUCGUCCAUUAACAAACUCCGGCAAACCAGAGACGAAACGGUGACUGGAGGAUGCGACUCCGGUGAUCUGAAGCUGGUUUUUGUCAGUAGUGGACUGCCCAGUAACCUGAAACCCGUGUGACCCGACGGCUUAAAGGCAAGGUUUCCGGAAAAUUUUCCAGCCGGUCAGUGAUGUUUUCCGGCGAAUGCCAGUGGCGUUUUCCGGCGGAUUUGUUGAGGAAAAUUCCCAAGGAUCGUGUCAUAAUUGGAGACUUCAAUGGGUUCUCCAAUGUAGAGUUCGAGUCGAGAGUCCAAUGCAGCCAAGAUGAUGUUCCUUUGGCUGCAGGUAUUCCGGUUGUAGUUGAUAGCAUUGUAGACGUGUGCCUUGGAUGUUAUGACUGAAGCACACUGCAACGGUCGUAAUUGGUGGACCACAGGUUGUCCACUUGUUUAUAGGUUUGGUUUAUGGCUUGUGACAUUUGUGUCACUUAUUCUUGUAAAACCAUUUCUAUUAUGUAUUUAUAUUGAGGAAAUACUUAAACAGAUAGAUGUAGUAUGGCUCUUUGUUUAUGAUUAUUUGUAAUAGAAGUUUAUGUUAUGAUUU